UAGUCUUUUACUAUUACAAGCGACACCUAUGCCCAGCUUUGUUUUUAUUUUUAUUUUCUCACAUGGGAUACCUCCCUGACUCCUUCUCUUGCGCCUCUCCCUCUCUCAUUUUCUCUUGCCUCCCUCACCCAGUCUCCCUCUCUCUAUCUCUUUGCUCCCAUAUCUCUAAUAUCUGAUCUCUAUCACUCAUCCUCCUUCAUUCUUAAAUAGAUCACUGCCAUCUUGACCACCGUUAGCCCACUCUCACCUUUCUUCUCUCUCCUUAUUCACUAGUGGUUGCGAUGGUGGCGACGAUGGCGACAAUGAUGCUUCAAUUUUUAGGGUUUCGAUAAUAGAUCUGAAGAUAUCCAUGUAUACGGGUUGUGAAGAGUAUGGAUCUGGGCUUGCAUCUCCUCCAACAAUAGCGGCGACUUCCACUUCUCCAACAGCAGAAGCAGCGGGUACCACCUCGUCCAACAACCGCGAUAGAUUUCACCUCUAACCACGGUGCUUCCACCACCUCCAGCCGCAACGUACCUCCUUGUAAUUUCGUUUAAGCAUUUGAGCAUGCUAAGGUUAGCGUUUUAGUGUUUUUUACCCAAAUUUUUUCACCUAAUUUAUUGAUUUUUAUUUUUAGGUUUUUAAAUACGAUGUAAUUGAUUCCUCUUGAAUACAGUCCUUACUUUCUAAUUGUAUAUUAUGUGUUCCAUGAAUUGAGUUUACAAGAUUUGAGGAAUACCCAGUUCAAAAUUUGAUGAUUUACACAGUUUUUUAUGCUCAAUUAAUGGAUCCAAACCUUAAAUCUUAGGUUACGGUUCCAUAAUUCUGAGGUACAAUUGUUAAUUUUGUGCAUUUUGAUUUGAUUUUCUUUGUUUUAGGUAAACCUCACUUCAUUAUUUUGGGUAAUUUUGUUGUCUAACUGAAGCUCAUUCAAUGAAUUUUGAGGUGUUUAAUUUGUUGUUGUUUUUUUGGUACCUUAACAAUGAUCCAUUUGCUUUAAAGUUUGGUACCUUAACAAAGAAUAAAAAGGCAGAAAGAGUUCUUUAAUUUGUUGCUGAAAAUGUUUAUUUGUAUUGUAUAUGUGCAUGAGUUAUCUAAGCAGAACCUCAUAUUAUUUUUGUGAUCAUAAAAAAUUUGAACAUCUGUAGUAGGUCUAUAUGUUAUUGCUUUGAACCGAAUUCAUUAUUGGUUGACCUUUGCCACUUUGAACUGGAUUCACUAUUAACUGAAUUUUGAAGUGGGAACUGGAUUCACUAUUAACUGAGUUUUAAAGUGGGUAUACAACUCUAUUAAUGUAGAAUUGCAGACUACAAUAAUUAAUUUAGGGGUUAUUCACUGUAAUAUGCAAGGAAUAUCACAUUGUUUUAUUGGUCAUGUCUCGUUGUGAGUCGGUUUCUCUUAUUUGGAGGUUUUGAAAUCAUCAUGUUUCACGUGAGUUGUGAGGUUGUUUGAAUAGUAGUGUGCCAUUGUCUUAUAAUUUUGGUCUUUUAGAAAGGGAACACUGUAGAAUUAAUUUCCUGAUCUUAUACUUGAUUUUAAUGUAUUUUCCCCUGUCAAUAUUUCUGUAAUAGGUUGUCAGAUAUAUUCAAUGCUUAGUAGUCAAAGUUGAAGCCAAAUAGUGAGACAAUCAAAAAAAUUAUCAACAUGAACGUUAGAAUGAAAUAUUUUGAUAAUGCAUAUACCGUGUGAAGGAUGUGGGAAAGAUUAAGAAAGUUCCUUCAGCAAGUAUGUUCAAUGCUAUAUUGGCUGGUUAUUACAGAGAGGUGAAUUUUCCAGUCUUUGGUCUCCCUGAUUUAACUAAAGGUAAAAUUAUACUAAGUUCCUUCCUCUAUUUCUAGAAUUUGUGAUUAUUCUUAUAUAAUUCUCAAUCUAAUAUCAAAAUGACAAUUAUUUCAUGUCAUUUGAUAUAAUUUGAUAAAGUGCACAAUUGCUGCUUAGCUCUUUAGUUUACUCACACUGUAUUUUAUAUACUUCUUACUAAUUAUUUCAUUCUGGGUCCUCAAUGACCUUUGAG